rnacentral:tRNA from 1 species
CGGGACGUGGCGCAGCCUGGUAGCGCGCCUGGUUUGGGACCAGGAGGCCGCCGGUUCGAAUCCGGCCGUCCCGA